rnacentral:tRNA from 1 species
GUGGUGGUAGCUCAGUGGCAGAGUGCUUGUUUAGCAUGCACAAGGUCCUGGGUUCAAUCCUCAGUACCACA